GUAGGUGGCAAGCGUUGUCCGGAAUUAUUGGGCGUAAAGCGCGCGCAGGCGGGUCCUUUAAGUCUGAUGUGAAAGCCCACGGGCUCAACCGUGGAGGGCCAUUGGAAACUGGGGGACUUGAGUACAGAAGAGGAAAGCGGAAUUCCAAGUGUAGCGGUGAAAUGCGUAGAGAUUUGGAGGAACACCAGUGGCGAAGGCGGCUUUCUGGUCUGUAACUGACGCUGAGGCGCGAAAGCGUGGGGAGCAAACAGGAUUAGAUACCCUGGUAGUCCACGCCGUAAACGAUGAGUGCUAAGUGUUAGGGGGUUUCCGCCCCUUAGUGCUGCAGCUAACGCAUUAAGCACUCCGCCUGGGGAGUACGGCCGCAAAGGCUG
rnacentral:rRNA from 1 species